rnacentral:rRNA from 1 species
GACGAACGCUGGCGGCGUGCCUAAUACAUGCAAGUAGAACGCUGAAGGAGGAGCUUGCUUCUCUGGAUGAGUUGCGAACGGGUGAGUAACGCGUAGGUAACCUGCCUGGUAGCGGGGGAUAACUAUUGGAAACGAUAGCUAAUACCGCAUAAUAGUAGAUGUUGCAUGACAUUUGCUUAAAAGGUGCAAUUGCAUCACUACCAGAUGGACCUGCGUUGUAUUAGCUAGUUGGUGAGGUAACGGCUCACCAAGGCAACGAUACAUAGCCGACCUGAGAGGGUGAUCGGCCACCCUGGGACUGAGACACGGCCCAGACUCCUACGGGAGGCAGCAGUAGGGAAUCUUCGGCAAUGGACGGAAGUCUGACCGAGCAACGCCGCGUGAGUGAAGAAGGUUUUCGGAUCGUAAAGCUCUGUUGUAAGAGAAGAACGAGUGUGAGAGUGGAAAGUUCACACUGUGACGGUAUCUUACCAGAAAGGGACGGCUAACUACGUG